rnacentral:rRNA from 1 species
UACGUAGGUGGCAAGCGUUGUCCGGAUUUAUUGGGUUUAAAGGGUGCGUAGGCGGCCUUGUAAGUCAGUGCUGAAAUAUCCCGGCUUAACCGGGAGGGUGGCAUUGAUACUGCAGGGCUUGAGUAAAGUUGAGGUUGGCGGAAUUGACGGUGUAGCGGUGAAAUGCGUAGAUAUCGAGAGGAACACCUGCGGCGAAGGCGGGUUGCUGGGCUGACACUGACGCUGAUGCGCGAAAGCCAGGGGAGCGAACGGG